rnacentral:rRNA from 1 species
UACGUAGGGUGCGAGCGUUAAUCGGAAUUACUGGGCGUAAAGCGUGCGCAGGCGGUUCGUUGUGUCCGUCGUGAAAGCCCCGGGCUUAACCUGGGAACUGCGAUGGAAACUAGCGAGCUGGAGUGUGGCAGAGGGGGAUGGAAUUCCGCGUGUAGCAGUGAAAUGCGUAGAUAUGCGGAGGAACACCGAUGGCGAAGGCAAUCCCCUGGGCCUGCACUGACGCUCAUGCACGAAAGCGUGGGGAGCAAACAGG